rnacentral:lncRNA from 1 species
UUAUGUCAUAAAUUAGGGGAGAAACAGGAGCUAGGACAUUUCAGCAUGCUUCCAGGAGAAGAGGUGUGGGAUGGUCUAAAGUCACCAAAGAUCUCCAUUGGAGAGAAAAAGAAAAACAGCUGGAACUUAUAACUAUUUGGAAACAUCAACAAUGUUGAAAUUUACACUCCCAUGUGCAGAUGUUAUCAGACAAUCAAAAAAAUGUGUACAAACAGAGAAAGAGGAAAGCCAUUGUAUUGAAGAAUGAUCCAGUUGGAUGGGACACAAAAAGUUACACUUGUCCUUUUUCUGAAGAACACUGUUAAUCAAUAAGAUGAGGUGUGCAGAAGAACAAAGGAAUGGAAUAUUAUGGCCCCUUUUUAUAUAUUUAUCAAAGACUACCUGACUACAGGCAACGUAUGCAGAACUGACCACAACUUGGUAUCUGUUGGACAACCACCGAGGUUACGCUAACAAUUAGGUCAUGAUGCUCAAAGUGAUGGUGGAACUAACACAGAGAGGAACUUCUCUGGUAGGGAAAAGGGUGCUACGGAAACUGGAUGACGAUGACAUAGCCCUGCAAAGAAGUUCUCCAGCCUGUGCACUGACUUUGGGAAUCAGUACAAGCUGCUGUCCAAUUUGCCAUACCUCAGUUCCAAAAAGCUUAGUGAUAAUAAAAAAUAUAAAUAAAUAGAAAAUCUCUAAGCUCAAUACCAAGUGUAGUCUAGUACUUCCUGUAAUAUUAUAAGUGCUUUGUGCAAAUCAAUGCUGAAACUCCAGGAUGCCUUGUUUUAUGUAACAUGGUUUUCUUUUUUUUUUUUUUUUUCUGCUGUGGCAUCUCUGAGGUGAAGAAUUUUUUUUUCAUGUUCAUAGGAAACAUAAAUUGAUUUAGUCUAGCUUUCCCUUGCACAUGGAAAAAAAGUGUACAUGGCCUUUCAAAUGAGCCAGUCACUCCAGAAUAAGGUCAUCCAUUCAGCAGAAGCAAGAUUGCUUUCAGAAGUAUACAAUAGCUCUGUAUAGGGAAGCAUGCAUUUUGGCAGAGAUAGACUAUAUCUGAACGCUUUAUGCAAAAUCCUUUAAGUUUAACUCAAACAAAAAGGACCCUGGAAUUGUUUCACUGUGCCAAGUGACUACUAGCCUUAGGUAACUACACACACACACACACACACACACACACACACUUUUUUUCUAUUUUAAUGGGAGACUAACUAUAAGCAUAUAUUUCUAUCACCAUAUAUUAGCUGUCUUCUGUCAAAAUUACAAAAGGUUAAAUAUAGCAUAACAUUUACUUCAAGAAGAAAAGAGUUUACUUUAAAAAUAUACCAAUGAACAAAGCAUAAACUAUAGCUGAAAUAUCAUACAUGAAUUAGUAUCUUUAUACUUUUGUUGAUUGUACAUACUUGGAAUUUUUUUGGUGAAUCAUUACUAUUUUUUUUCAAUGGGAAAUAUAAGCUAAACUGUAAACAUUUUGGUGAUAAUUUUAUCCUUGAUGCCAAAUAGUGUACUUAUUGAAUCCUCAAAAGUAUGCUAGUUCGUCCUCUGUUUCAGUUUUUC